AUGUUCCUUUUGAAACUUUUAAAAAUUAUUAUGCCCUCCCUACAAUGGUUGUUGUUGUUGUUGAUGAUGAUGAUGUUAUAUUUUGAAACAACACAGGGUAUUUCAAUACAAUGUUGUUCCUUCACUCUGUUCCAUAGAGGAAUUACUGGUAGAGUCUUCCUUAUCCAAAAUACUUGGGACCAGAAGUUUUUUAGAUUUCAGAUUUUGGAUUAUCUGUAUUUGCAUAGAUAUUGUGAAUGAGGGUUAAGGGGGCAAAAGGAACUAGUGCCCAAAGUGUUUUUCCUCAAGGGUUGCCCAUCAACACAACUUUGCCCUUUUAGCACAAUAAUCAGGAAGAGAGGAGAAAUCCUAUCCCCACACUGCUGAAUCUCUCAUUCUCCCAGGGCAGGAUAUCAGUAGCAGGCAAUGGGGUUGCUCCAUGCUCACGGCCAUUUCCAGGGAACUUGCCCUGCUGUGCAUCACUAUGGACCAGGCUGAGCCAAGCACAGACGCAUCUGGGAUGUCUACUUUUUUACAGUAAGCAGAAUCCUCCCCUUUCCCUUCUUUUAUUUCCUCCAUCAGGGCUCCUUGAGGAAAAACCCAGCGGGCGCUGGACAUAUUGGUCCCUUUCUACAAAGGCAGAAGUGGGUGGCUGGCAGCAAAAAGUUUCAGUUUUGGAGUGUUUCGGAUUUCCAGAUAAGGACACUCAGCCUGUAGUAAUUUUUCUCUUUCAUUUGAAUCUAUUAGAAUUCCUGACCUCAAUUCAUCCCCGACUUUAAAAAUAUUGAAGUUUUCUCUCCCAUUUUUAAUGGUGUCUUUACUUUCCCCCUGUGCUUUUCGAGAGACAAGACACAUACAGCACUGAGAGCAAGGUCACCUUUUCUUUUCCAGACAGGACUAAUGAAUUCUGUCACUUUACUGCCGUCUCUCCUCUCAAAACAACUGGACAGUUUGCAGGCUUUUCGGAUGAGAAAUGAACGACCACAAAAGAAUGAACACGACACUGCCUCAUGAGGCCCACACUUCUUGGUGCCAAUUACUACUCUCAAGGUAACCAUAAACCUGUCUGGCCCAAAGGCUCCUUUCCUACGCUUAGUGAACACUAUGACAUUGAGAGACCCUUAGAAGGUGGAGGCCACAAAGGAUUCCUUUUUCAAUAAAGCCUUUUUGCCAGGCGUGGGAAACCUUUAGUCAUCCAGAUCUUUUGGCCUACAAUGGCCAAGAGACCCAGUUAACAUGGCCAAUGGUAAGGCAUUGUGAGAGUUGUACUCCAAAAUGCCUAAAGCACCAAAGACUCCCCACCGUUGCACUGUGUACCUCUAACAUCAAUCUUAGCUAGUUUGCCAUUCUGCCAAUGCCAAGCAGAAAGGGUUUCCCUGCAGAGAUGAAGCACCAUCUCUGCUGCACAAUUACAGUGGCAAAACUCAAGGUAGCCUUCAAUUUAGUACUUGGAAUUGAAGGUGAAUAAAUUUCUCUGAAGUGUGUCAUUCCUCCAGUCUUUUCAAUUUCUAAGACAAGCUGUUCCUAAGUAGCAUGGAUGUUCACUUUUUAUCCAAUCCUUCCUUGAGAAACACCGUACACUGAGAAACAAAU
rnacentral:lncRNA from 1 species